GACGUAGGGCGCGAGCGUUGUCCGGAUUUAUUGGGCGUAAAGAGCUCGUAGGCGGCUUGUCGCGUCGAAUGUGAAAACCCACGGCUCAACUGUGGGCUUGCAUUCGAUACGGGCAGGCUAGAGUUCGGUAGGGGAGACUGGAAUUCCUGGUGUAGCGGUGAAAUGCGCAGAUAUCAGGAGGAACACCGGUGGCGAAGGCGGGUCUCUGGGCCGAUAUUGACGCUGAGGAGCGAAAGCGUGGGGAGCGAACAGG
rnacentral:rRNA from 1 species